GACGAACGCUGGCGGCGUGCUUAACACAUGCAAGUCGAACGGAAAGGCCCUGCUUUUGUGGGGUGCUCGAGUGGCGAACGGGUGAGUAACACGUGAGUAACCUGCCCUUGACUUUGGGAUAACUUCAGGAAACUGGGGCUAAUACCGGAUAGGAGCUCCUGCUGCAUGGUGGGGGUUGGAAAGUUUCGGCGGUUGGGUAUGGACUCGCGGCUUAUCAGCUUGUUGGUGGGGUAGUGGCUUACCAAGGCUUUGACGGGUAGCCGGCCUGAGAGGGUGACCGGCCACAUUGGGACUGAGAUACGGCCCAGACUACUACGGGAGGCAGCAGUGGGGAAUAUUGCACUAUGGGCGGAAGCCUGAUGCAGCAACGCCGCGUGCGGGAUGACGGCAUUCGGGUUGUAAACCGCUUUCGCCUGUGACGAAGCGUGAGUGACGGUAAUGGGUAAAGAAGCACCGGCUAACUACGUG
rnacentral:rRNA from 1 species